rnacentral:rRNA from 1 species
UACGUAGGGGGCAAGCGUUGUCCGGAAUUAUUGGGCGUAAAGCGCGCGUAGGUGGCCCAGUAAGUCCGCUCUGAAAGUCAAAGGCUCAACCUUUGAAAGCGGGUGGAUACUGCUGGGCUAGAGUCCGGAAGAGGAGAGUGGAAUUCCUGGUGUAGCGGUGAAAUGCGCAGAUAUCAGGAAGAACACCAAUGGCGAAGGCAGCUCUCUGGGACGGUACUGACGCUGAGACGCGAAAGCGUGGGGAGCGAACAGG